rnacentral:rRNA from 1 species
AGUAACGCGUAGGUAAUCUACCCUUAUAUUUGGGAUAACAUUGGGAAACUGGUGCUAAUACCGAAUGGUCUUCUUUGCUGCGGGGCGAAGGAGUAAAGGUGGCCUCUUCAUGAAAGCUACCGUGUAGGGAUGAGCCUGCGUACCAUUAGCUAGUAGGUGGGGUAAUGGCCCACCUAGGCAACGAUGGUUAGCGGGUCUGAGAGGAUGAUCCGCCACACUGGAACUGGAACACGGACCAG